rnacentral:rRNA from 1 species
AGCAGCCGCGGUAAUUCCAGCUCCAAUAGCGUAUAUUAAAGUUGUUGCAGUUAAAAAGCUCGUAGUUGAAUUUCGGGAUCGACGGGUCGGUCGCGCCUCUGGUGUGUACUGGCCCUGUCGGUUUCUCCCUUCUGAAGAACCGCGAUGUCAUUAAUUUGGUGUCGUGGGGAAUCAGGACUGUUACUUUGAAAAAAUUAGAGUGUUUAAAGCAGGCAUUCGCUUGAAUACAUUAGCAUGGAAUAAUGAAAUAGGACGUUUGAUCUUAUUUUGUUGGUUUCUAAGAUCGACGUAAUGAUUAAUAGGGAUAGUUGGGGGCAUUAGUAUUCAAUUGUCAGAGGUGAAAUUCUUGGAUUUAUUGAAGACUAACUACUGCGAAAGCAUUUGCCAAGGGUGUUUUCAUUAAUCAAGAACGAAAGUUAGGGAUCGAGGACGAUCAGAUACCGUCGUAGUCUUAACCAUAAACCUAUGCCGACUAGGGAUCGGAUGAUGUUAAUUUUUAUGACUCAUUCGGCGCCUUACG